AUAAGCUCCAAGGCCCAUGGAACCAGCUACCGGCUUUAUUGUAGCACAUCUACCAGUUACCAAUGUCGCAUGUAUUCGACUACCAGCAGCCUGUCAGGGAACACCUGGUUCAGUUACAACUACGUCACUUUCCAGAUCUUCUCCAGGAACGCUGUUGAUGGUACCCCUAUCCAAUAUGGUGACAUAGUGGCGUUCAAAUACCCGUACGCAUUCAACAGCGCCUGGUUGUACUAUUACAGUAGCCGUUUUUAUCCCCGAAGUUGCAGCACUAACAGCAAAUCGUCGUGUGCCGCUGAAAACACCACCACUGGCUUCAGGAUCUUCAAAAAGCUGUGAAGUUUGAACUUCAUGUCUGGAAGCUUUUGAAAAAGAAAAGGUUUCAGUCAUAAAGUUCAAGCUUAGCAUGAUACGCUCGUAUCAGGGGCUGAUAGUUGCUUAAAGGGUCCUAGUCAGCCACACCUUUAGUUUUGUUUGCAUGCGAGAGUUUGGCUAUUAUAUUUUAUUGGGAGCAUAUCGAAACGAAGGAAAUCACUGUGUAAGUACUAAACAUAAUUAAACAUACUUUCAGGAACACAACUUCCAGCAAAGCAAUAAGAUACGCUUCACUGUGCAGAAUAUCAAUAAUAUCGAUGACAUCAAAAAUGGCGGAGGCUGACUAGGGUCCUUUAAUAGUCUUCAUGGCAACCUGAGAAGAACAAAGUGCUAAGUUUGGACUUUAUGACUGAAAGCUUCUUAAAAGCUUUUGGCCGGAGUUGCCAGUUGCAAGUUAAACUGUAUUUUACUGUUUCUCAGAAACAAUUAAAGGGAUAAUAAACUCGACAAAUGUUUCACAUAA